GGAAAGGUGGCAGAGUGGUCGAUUGUAACGGUUUUGAAAACCGUCGUAGUAUAAGCUACCGAGGGUUCGAAUCCCUCCCUUUCCG
rnacentral:tRNA from 1 species